AGGAAACAACUCAUACCUAAGCACAGGAAGUGUCUGACUUACCAUGGUUGGACUUCCAUUAAAUUCAAGAAAAAUACAAAUGUUUGUCACUAUUGGUAGAUCAGAAUUUUCAAAAGAAAAUGCUACAUAGUGGAUGAAUUCAAUGCAAUUAAGGAGUCAAGUGUCCUCGACUGGCAACCAGAAGACUACAUCUGGCAGUUGUACCAUUUAGACUGUGGUCAAGUCCCAAGCUCUUUUCUCUAUGUAAAGAAAACAAAACGCAGCACAUUCACAUUUUCCCGAGGAACUGUAAAGAUGAUCUCUACAGGGAUAAACGUUGUAAAGCCUGAAGCUCAAUCAACUGAUGUUGAAAACUCUCAAAGGGAGUAAAGGCUUGAUCUCAAUGGUCUAGAACAUGUACUGUAAUUUAAUAGAAGAGAUGGUCGUCUUAAUAUUUAAUGAUUUAAAAGAACUUCCCAGUCCAUGCGAAGAGUACAGUCCAAGAAUAAAUCAAAUUUCUGAACGCAUUUUAUGCUACAUAUGUGUAUACUUUGCGAUCCUCAGGUGUUCGUGCCAAAUAUUCUCUCUCAAUAAGUCCUUCAAUACGUUUCUUAAUAACAACUGGACUUGGUAAGAAUCGCGCCUUCAACUGCUGAGUUACCUAAAAAAGAAAGUAGAUAGUAUUUUUAUAUAAACACAUAAAAAUUCAUAUCUUUGAACAGAACUGAUAUGUCAUUUUAACACUCAGAGACUGAACUUUACUAACUGGAUUACCA
rnacentral:antisense_RNA from 1 species